rnacentral:rRNA from 1 species
CAGCCGCCGCGGGAACACGGAGGGUGCAAGCGUUAAUCGGAAUUACUGGGCGUAAAGCGUGCGUAGGCGGUUCGUUAAGUCUGUUGUGAAAGCCCCGGGCUCAACCUGGGAAUGGCAAUGGAUACUGGCGAGCUAGAGUGUGUCAGAGGAUGGUGGAAUUCCCGGUGUAGCGGUGAAAUGCGUAGAGAUCGGGAGGAACAUCAGUGGCGAAGGCGGCCAUCUGGGACAACACUGACGCUGAGGCACGAAAGCGUGGGGAGCAAACAGGAUUAGAUACCCGGGUAGUCCCUGUCUCUUAUAC